AGUGAACGCUGGCGGUAGGCCUAACACAUGCAAGUCGAACGGCAGCACAGUAAGAGCUUGCUCUUACGGGUGGCGAGUGGCGGACGGGUGAGGAAUACAUCGGAAUCUACUUUUUCGUGGGGGAUAACGUAGGGAAACUUACGCUAAUACCGCAUACGACCUACGGGUGAAAGCAGGUGAUCUUCGGACCUUGCGCGAUUGAAUGAGCCGAUGUCGGAUUAGCUAGUUGGCGGGGUAAAGGCCCACCAAGGCGACGAUCCGUAGCUGGUCUGAGAGGAUGAACAGCCAAAAUGGGACUGGGACACGGUCCAGACUCCUACGGGAGGCAGCAGGGGGGAAUAUUGGACAAUGGGCGCAAGCCUGAUCCAGCCAUACCGCGUGGGGGAAGAAGGCCUUCGGGUUGUAAAGCCCUUUUGUUGGGGAAGAAAAGCAGCAGGUUAAUACCCCGCUGUUCUGACGGUACCCAAAGAAUAAGCACCGGCUAACUUCGUGC
rnacentral:rRNA from 1 species